AAGGGCAUUUAAAUGGCUUCUCGCCUGUGUGGGUGCGCAGGUGGGCUUUCAGUUCAGGCUUUCGUGAGAAGCUCCGAAGGCAUGAAGGGCAUUGAUAUGGCUUCUCGCCUGUGUGGGUGCGCAGGUGGUCUUUCAGGUGGGUCGUUUGUGAGAAGGUCCGAGAGCAUGAAGGACACUGUAAUGGAUUCUCGCUUGUGUGGGUUCGCAGG